GUGCCUAUGCGUGUUGCCUCGACUGCCAAUUGGGACCCACGUCUACAGAGCGAGGACCCAUCUCCCACACUCUUCCUCCCCCUCCCACAAUAGGUGUCCCCAUCCGCUCCCCGGAUCUAGCCCCAGCUCCCACAUUCAGCGUCCCCAUCCAACUCCCUGGAUCCAGCAAGUAAUCCGCAACCUUGACCGCACUCUGCCUCCCACUCCGCUCCCCCACAUCCCACAAGCACCACCACGGAAGCCAGAUUUGGCAAUGCGCCGCUCCACCCCGCCAUCGACGCCGAUUGUGGCAAUGUCAAGCACAGUCUCCGUCCCUGAUUUGGAAUGCGCACAAUCUCCGUCCCCGAUUUGGAAUGUAGACAAUCUCCCAGUGAUUCCUAUACCAAGUAAUUCAUGCACCUAUCCCCCAAAUGUCACGCCCGAGCUCAUAAAAAAGGUCGCAAUUCCAUAGUCCAGACACACAAGAGUCCAUCCUGCGCCCAUGCUCCCACAGGUUCUGGCCAAAAGAACAAUAUCUUGAGAAGCAAUAUCUUGAACAUCAAAAUCUAAGCAAUUCGGUGCUUCUUGGUGCAUAAUCCAAAGACUUAUUUCAUCGACAGAUAUCUAGAGAGGAGACGGGCUUAUUUGGCAACUGUGGUACCGGGUUCAAACAUGUCUUAGCUUGUUAUAGUGGGGAUUUGAUAAUUAUGUAUCUAAAUCAACAGUCAUAAAUAUUUGUAAUAUGGAGGGAUUAUGUAUGCAAUAAAAAUCAUAGCUUUGCUCUUCAUACAUAAGUAUCACUGAUUCAAUGUUAUCAGCCCUUGCCCAUACAUUCUAAAUGAAACUGAAAAAUUGUUACAAAAUAUGGAGGAGAACAAAAACAUUCCAUAUACAAAUAUAUGUGUGUAUCAUUAUAAUCUACACUUGAACACUAAAGAGAUCGCUACAAUCAUUGUAAUAAACAGAUAAUCUAGUUUUUUAAUCUCAAUUGUAAAUUGUCAAGACGAAAAAAGAACACGUCAGACGCUGAUAUUUUGGUUGACUAUGAAUUUGUUUGUUAUGUUACAACAGUCUGUGAAACUUGGUGUGCUUGAGAACUGCAUAAAUUGUGUCAAACUGUGUGGCAACAAUAAUAGGUUUCUCGUAAAAAUGUGUGCAAACUGAUACCUAGUGACAAUAGGCAUCAGAUUGUGUGUGAAAGUAACUAAACCAGUACAUUGUCCCUAGCAGAUUUUCUUUAGUGAAAAUGGAGAACCAAUAGAAACAUAUCUGAUGGGGCAUAAUGUUGGUCGCACACCAUUUACAAACAUCUCAAACACCAGCAUUAAAGGUAAAAAAGUUACUACACACAUGUCGAAUAAUGAUUUAAACAUAAUAAGUAGAGGAACAGUGAAACACAAAGUUAAUGGCAGCAAGUGAUUUAGUUCAAUAGUUCCUCAUAGAAAAUUAUUGACUCUAGAGAUAUGGUAACUGGAGAAGACAAAAUUGUUUGAAGCACACACAGAACCGGAAGCGCCCCUUGUUUCAAAGAGAGGAGGACGGGUUAUUCACAUUUAAUUUGAUGGUUAGAGGCGAAUUGAAAGUUAAGCAGUGGUAAUUAAGACCCCGGGAAAAAAUAGGGAUGUCUCCUACGUUACCCAUAAUAUGUGGAAGUAUCGACGUAAUUUCAUAGAGUCAUUCGAUCUGAAUGCUACAUGAAGAACAUAAGCUAGAUGAUGGAACGCGGAGACCUAGAAUGUAGAAGAUCAUAACAUGAGCGAUUCGACGGAUUUGGAUUCCUUUUCUAUAUAUCCACUCAUGUGGUACUUCAUCAUACUCGCUUGGACCAAUGGUCGAUGCUAAUGAAUGUAAGAGGCAUAGGGAUAAGAAAAGAUAUGCCACGAUGUCCAUUGAACAAAAAAAUGGGAACAAUAGGAAGCAUCGUAAAGCACGGAAAUGAAAUAAAGGACUACCAAUAAAGCCCGAGUCAUCUAGAGGUGAUGAAAAUUUAAAUUUUGUAACUAUUAUACCGACAUGUCCCUACAAUACAAAGUUGACAUGUAGCCUUUUCUAUAUGGGUAAUUAAACAAAGAAGACAUUGUUGGGGACUUGUUCUCAAAUGCUAUGAAUUAAGAACAAGGCAACAUAAAAUGUUAAAUGUCAAAGCCCUUCGUCCGCUCAAGCAUUAUUUCCCUGAGGAUUUAAUGAGCUUCGGACGAAGGUCAUGGAUGAUAAAUUACAAAGGUCCUACCUUCGUAAUCAGAAAUAAAAUAAUGCGAAAUGAAAUAUAAAGUAUAAAACAUUAAAGAAUAUCCAGAAUGAAUAACAUCAUUUGCUCAUUUUAUAAUAUAAAUUGAGAUAUUAAAACAUGAUGUUUGGUUACAUUUAUACCUUUGCCUUGACAAAGAACAAUAAUUCCAG